UACGUAGGGUGCGAGCGUUGUCCGGAAUUACUGGGCGUAAAGAGCUCGUAGGCGGCUUGUCGCGUCGUCCGUGAAAACCUGCAGCUCAACUGCAGGCUUGCGGUCGAUACGGGCAGGCUGGAGUUCGGUAGGGGAGACUGGAAUUCCUGGUGUAGCGGUGAAACGCGCAGAUAUCAGGAGGAACACCGGUGGCGAAAGCGCUCUGCUGGACCUUAACUGACACUGAGGGACGAAAGCUAGGGGAGCGAAUGGG
rnacentral:rRNA from 1 species